ensembl:lincRNA
UAUGAGUUUAUACGAAGUAGGGUUAGGUGUGUGGUUUGUCGACAUGCCUCCUUUUAAAACUCGUACAAAAUUGUAUGAGUUUAUACGAAGUAGGGUUAGGUGUGUGGUUUGUCGACAUGCCUCCUUUUAAAACUCGAACAAAAUCGUAUGAAUUAGUUCGAAGUAGGGUUAGGUGUGUGGUUUGUCGACAUGCCUCCUUUUAAAAAUCUAACAAAAUCGUAUGAAUUAGUUUGAAGUAGGGUUAGGUGUGUGGUUUGUCGACAUGCCUCCUUUUAAAAAUCGUACAAAAUUGUAUGAGUUUAUAUGAAGUAGGGUUAGGUGUGUGGUUUGUUGACAUGACUCCUUUUAAAAAUCGAACAAAAUUGUAUGAAUUAGUACGAAGUAGGGUAAGGGAUAGGUGUUCGGUUUGUCGACAUGGCUCCUUUUAAAAAUCAUAUAAAUUAGUACGAAGUAGGGUUAGGUGUGUGGUUUGUUGACCUGCCUCUUUUUAAAAAUCGGGGAAAAUUGUAUGAAUUGGUGCGAAGUAGGGUUAUAAAUAGGUGUGCGGUUUGUUGACAUGCCUACUUUUAAAAUUGUACAUUUUCAUAGAAAUUAAUUUGUAUGAAUAAGGGUUAGUGGUAGGGUGUGUUGACAUGCCUUCUUUUUAAGUUCGUACAUCUUCACAUGAAUGAAAUCCUAUAGGUUUGUUUGAAUUAGGGUUAAGUGUGUGGUUGGUUGACAUGCCCCCUUUUUGAAAUCGAACGUCUUCAUAUGAAUGAAAUUGUAUGAAUUUGUUCGAAUUAGGUUUAGAAGUGUGGGUUUGUUGACACUUGUCUUUUUAAAAUCAUGUGAAUUUGUACGAAUUAGGGUGAGGUGUGGUGUUUGUUGACAUGCCUCCUUUGUAAAAAUGUUACAUUUUCAUAUGAAAUUAUAAGAAUUUGUACGAAUUAGGGUUAGGAGUGGGGUUUAUUGACACGCCUCCUUUUAAAAAUUGUACAAAAUCAUAAGAAUUUGUUCCAAUUAGGGUUAGGAUUAGGUGCGGGGUUUGUUGACAUGCCUCCUUUUUAAAAUCGUACAUCUUCCUAUUAAUGAAAUCGUAUGAAUUUGUACGAAUUAGGGUUGGGGGUGUGGGUUUGUUGACACCUCUUUUUAAAAAUCAUACAAAAUUGUAUGAAUUUGUAAAAAUUAGGGGCUAGGUUUGGGGUUAUAUGACACAACUUUAUAAAAACGACAUUAUCCAAAUAAUGAAAUUGUAUGAAUUUGUACGAAUUAGGGUUAUGUGUGGGGUUUGUUGACACACCUCCUCAUGAAAAUCGUGCAAAAUCAUAUGAAUUUGUACGAAUUAGGGUUAGGCUCGGAGUUUGUUGACAUGCCUCCUUAUAAAAAUCGCGCAAAAUCAUAUGAAUUUGUACAAAUUAGGGUUAGGAGUGGGUUUUUUUUUGACAUGCUUCCUUUUAAAAAUCGCGCAAAAUCAUACAAAUUUGUACGAAUUAGGGUUAGGCUUGGAGUUUGUUGACAUGCCUCCUUAUAAAAAUCGCUCAAAAUCAUAUGAAUUUGUACGGAUUAGGGUUAGGCUUGGAGUUUGUUGACAUGCCUCCUUAUAAAAAUCGCGCAAAAUCAUAUGAAUUUGUACGAAUUAGGGUUAGGAGUGGUUUUUUUUGACAUGCUUCCUUUUAAAAAUCGAGCAAAAUCAUACGAAUUUGUACGAAUUAGGGUUAGGUGUGGGGUUUGUUGACAUGCUUCCUUUUGAAAAUCGCGCAAAAUCAUAUGAAUUUGUACGAAUUAGGGUUAGGCGUGGGGUUGGUUGACAUGCUUCCUUUUAAAACUUGUUUCAUUUGAUUGAAAUCAUAUGAAUUUGUACAAAUAGGGGUUAGGCAUGGGGUUUUUAAAAAUCAUACGUUUUCAAAUCGUAAGAAUUUGUUUGAAUUAGGUUUACGUGUUGGGUUUGUUGACACCCCAUUUUCACAUGAAUGAAUUUGUACGAAUUAGCCACUUUUCUGACAACACAUACAAUAGUUACGUUUCCCCGUGCGAUUGUGUUGGUGAAUACAGUAUGCAAAGCACAGUCGUGGUUUCCUUUGGAGCCAGACUUGCGAAUGCGGUAAAAUAUGUUCAGCUUAAAAAAAUUGAGAUUUCAGCUCAAUAUCUUGUAUUGAUGUUUAAUAUCAUGUUAAACCAGUGACAUACAGAGAGAUUUACCCAUGAUGAGAACUUCUAAAGAUGCAACAUCUUAUUUGUACCAACCUCUUGUUACGCAUUUUGCACAUUAUAGGCAUAUUUAAUAUUUAUGUAGUCAGCUUUGUGCUAUGCAAGAAUAGCUUGAACCAUAUUAAUUAGCUCCUCACCCCUCCUCACUGUUGUUUUCAGUAUAAAUAUAUAUAUUGUACAAAGUCAGCGACAGAAACUGCGCACCCGUGGGACUGAUGAUGGGUGGCUCAGAUUUGAAAUAGUCCAUUUCAAAGACAUUGUAAAGCGGCAAUAAGAAAAAGAUGGAUUAAAAAGAAUAAUUUAGUGUAUUAUGUCAUGCACACAACAAUGAAUAGAUACGUUUAGAUUGUUCUGUUGCAUCUAAUACUAUAUUUUUGAUGACCUGUGUUAUGGAUUAAGAAUUUGUACUUUCAUUUGUUUUAUUAUAGCAUUUUAUUUCAACAGAUUGUGAAAGUGGUUUCAUUUGGGGUUUCGCAAUGGAGAAAUCCAUCACAUACUGUAAUUUAAACAAUAUAUAAAUAUAUAUAUAUAUAAAUAUAUUUGUGCUUGGAAAGGAGUAACUACUGACUUUAAAGGAUGGGCGUGUGCAAACAUGUUCAUAGGCACAAACAGCUGUGUGCACAAGUCCAGAGGUCAUGUAUGAUUUAUUCUGUACUGUACACUGGGAAAUGGCUAAUGUCUUUGUAAAGGUAUGCUUUCUUAAUGUUAUGGCCCUGUAGAAUUUGAUUCUCUUCAUUAGUCAUACAAUAAAAGAAAAAAGAAAUCUAUAUAUUUUGUCAUUUUUGAAGCUAUACAUAAUUAUUGUUUAAUCUUCAUCUUUAUUACAGUCAUAUUCACAGAAGUCUUCAGAAAAUGUAAGACAUUGGCUGCAUCUAAAAUCGCCUACUACUCAAGUAGGUACAUUUGGAUUAGAAUUUACUACACGACCAUUAGAAAAGUAUAUUCUGUAUAGUAUGAAGUGAGGAGUAAUAAAAAUCCAAAGUACUACAUCCAC